UUCUAAAUGCACUGCAGCUGCCACACGAGAAGUGACAACUUUGCCAAUUAGGGAGCAAUUACAAGCAUUGGGUCACUACCACUGUCGGGUCAGCACCUGCAUAAUAGAACAUUAAACUGGCAGCAGUGAGGAUAACUGGGAAUCAGUGUUGAUGUACCAACAUUUUCUUCUUGUCAUCCAAGAUGUCUGGAGCUCAUGCAGAUGCAUUUAAAGCCCAUUUGGCCCAAAAAUGAUGAUUUAAUGAAGCUAGAUCA
rnacentral:lncRNA from 1 species